UACGGGGGGAGCAAGCGUUGUUCGGAUUUACUGGGCGUAAAGGGCGCGUAGGCGGCGUGACAAGUCACUUGUGAAAUCUCCGGGCUUAACUCGGAACGGUCAAGUGAUACUGUCGUGCUAGAGUACAGAAGGGGCAACUGGAAUUCUCGGUGUAGCGGUGAAAUGCGUAGAUAUCAGGAGGAACACCAAUGGCGAAGGCAGCUCGCUGGAACGGUAUUGACGCUGAGACGCGAAAGCGUGGGGAGCAAACAGG
rnacentral:rRNA from 1 species